rnacentral:rRNA from 1 species
UACGUAGGGUGCAAGCGUUAAUCGGAAUUACUGGGCGUAAAGCGUGCGCAGGCGGCUUUGCAAGACAGAUGUGAAAUCCCCGGGCUUAACCUGGGAACUGCAUUUGGGACUGCAAGGCUUGAGUACGGCAGAGGGGGGUAGAAUUCCUGGUGUAGCAGUGAAAUGCGUAGAUAUCAGGAGGAAUACCGAUGGCGAAGGCAGCCCCCUGGGUCGAUACUGACGCUCAUGCACGAAAGCGUGGGGAGCAAACAGG